CCUACGAGCGGCAGCAGUGAGGAAUAUUUGUCAAUGGGCGCGAGUCUGAACCAGCCAAGUAGCGUGAAGGAUGACUGCCCUACGGGUUGUAUACUUCUUUUAUAUAGGAAUAAAGUGAGCCACGUGUGCCUUUUUGUAUGUACUUUAUGAAUAAGGAUCGGCUAACUCCGUGCCAGCAGCCGCGGUAAUACGGAGGAUCCGAGCGUUAUCCGGAUUUAUUGGGUUUAAAGGGAGCGUAGAUGGGUUGUUAAGUCAGUUGUGAAAGUUUGCGGCUCAACCGUAAAAUUGCACUUGAUACUGGCAGUCGUGAGUACAGUAGAGGUCGGCGGAAUUCGUGGUGUAGCGGUGAAAUGCUUAGAUAUCACGAAGAACUCCGAUUGCGAAGGCAGAUUACUAAACUGACACUGACAUUGAGGCUCGAAAGUGUGGGUAUCAAACAGGAUUAGAUACCCUUGUAGUC
rnacentral:rRNA from 1 species